ACUUCUAUAGGAUAGUAGUAAUCCAUUGGUCUUACGAACCAAAAAUCUUGGUGCAACUCCAAAUAAAAGUA
rnacentral:tRNA from 1 species